GACUCUUUUCCACAUCCCCCUGCCUUUUCCGAGAAAAGGACAGUUAGUGCCUGGACCAGGACCAUCACACUGGGGACCGGCUUCUCUGCUCUCCCGUUAUGGGGGUCGGGGGAAUGAUGGGUCAAGGGUCUUCCGAAGAAAGCGAGAAAGGAACAGGCGCCUUCAAAAGCCCACUUGGCGAUGGGUUACAGUAAGAGCGUUGCUCCCUGCUUGGCUGAGCACUGCGGAGUUUCACGCCUCUAAACCCCGCCUCUUCUUGCAACCUGUGUUGGCCUCAUCUACCCAGCAACUGUCGACGUCACACGACCUGGGCCUCCCUGAAUGGGAGAUAUUUACUAGGCAAUCCCGCCUACUGUUCUGAGGUUUCCCCUCCAGGUGCAGCUUCAGAGCCAGGCGAGCCAGGAAGGACCAGCGGGCGAGGUGGAAGUCUGCAUUAUCACGAGGAGCUUGGAAAGGAGGUAACACACUCAAGGCAAAUUUCAAGUAACUCAUCCUGGAGGCAGCUGCCUACUCUGCAGCUGUGGUUCUCCACCACAGAGAGAAGAAAAGGGAGGGAGAUGGAGUGCGCAGGUCUGAGAAGGCUUUCAUUCUGGAGCAUCUGCAGGAGCCUGCACCAUGGCCCAGUAGCACCCCUUUUUCUCCAUGAGCUGCUGGUGGGUUCCCCCCUCCCGGAUAGCGCCUCCUUCCAGAAAGAGGAUGUGGUCAGCCUGCUCCACCAGGCUGAGGUGCUGGGUGAUGAGAAGCACUGAGCGGGAGUACCGCUCAGGGCUUUCGUACAGGAGCUGCUCCACCUGAGGAAAGACAUCGGACCGUCAGAGCCGGGGACUACCCUCAGCCCAGGGAGACACCUGUGUUUCCAGGGCUGGGACUGACCUCACAGGAUCACUGCUGGCUCUGCUAACAACCCCAAGGACACCAACGUUUCCCAUUCUGAGUACUUCUCCGCAAACCCUUUGUUUCAUUAAGGACUGUUUUACAUGAAGGGUGCAAAAGUAGGAUAAAAAUGAGAACCCUAGGGUGAAACACGUGACAGAAGAAUAAAGACUAUUGAAUAGUCCUCUUCUCUACCCAUGGACUUGGCAUUUUUAUAUUCGAUUUUAAGGAAAUAUAACUUAGUAGUAAAGAGAUGAGCAUUCAAGUCAGGCAGACCUGAAUUUGGGUCAAGGCUGCGCCACUCAAAAGCUAUAUGACCUCUAUAUGAGCAGCUUAUUCAACCUCU
rnacentral:lncRNA from 1 species